rnacentral:rRNA from 1 species
CGCAGCCUGCAACCCGGCUGCGUGAAGCUGGAAUCGCUAGUAAUCGCGGAUCAGAAUGCCGCGGUGAAUACGUUCCCGGGUCUUGUACACACCGCCCGUCACACCAUGGGAGCCGGAAACGCCCGAAGCCAGCGGCCCAACCGCGAGGAGGGAGCUGUCGAAGGCGGGUCCGGUGACCCGGGGUGAAGUCGUAACAAGGUAUC